GAUGAACGCUGGCGGCGUGCUUAACACAUGCAAGUCGAACGAAGCACUUUUGAUUGAUUUCCUCGGAAAGAUUUCACUUGUGACUGAGUGGCGGACGGGUGAGUAACGCGUGGGUAACCUGCCUCAUACGGGGGGAUAACAGUUAGAAAUGACUGCUAAUACCGCAUAAGCGCACGGUAUCGCAUGAUACAGUGUGAAAAACUCCGGUGGUAUGAGAUGGACCCGCGUCUGAUUAGCUAGUUGGUGAGGUAACGGCCCACCAAGGCGACGAUCAGUAGCCGACCUGAGAGGGUGACCGGCCACAUUGGGACUGAGACACGGCCCAAACUCCUACGGGAGGCAGCAGUGGGGAAUAUUGCACAAUGGGCGAAAGCCUGAUGCAGCGACGCCGCGUGAACGAAGAAGUAUUUCGGUAUGUAAAGUUCUAUCAGCAGGGAAGAUAAUGACGGUACCUGACUAAGAAGCACCGGCUAAAUACGUGCCAGCCGCCGCGGUAAUAC
rnacentral:rRNA from 1 species